UGGGGAAUAUUGGACAAUGGGGGAAACCCUGAUCCAGCAAUGCCGCGUGAAUGAAGAAGGCCUUCGGGUUGUAAAAUUCUUUCACUCGUGAAGAUAAUGACGGUAGCGAGAGAAGAAGUCCCGGCUAACUCUGUGCCAGCAGCCGCGGUAAGACAGAGGGGACGAGCGUUGUUCGGAAUGACUGGGCGUAAAGGGUGCGUAGGCGGUUAUUUAAGUAAGGUGUUAAAGCCCUGGGCUCAACCCAGGAAUCGCAUCUUAUACUGGGUGACUUGAGUGUGAUAGAGGAAAGUGGAAUUCCUAGUGUAGAGGUGAAAUUCGUAGAUAUUAGGAGGAACACCAGAGGCGAAGGCGGCUUUCUGGGUCACAACUGACGCUGAGGCACGAAAGCGUGGGGAGCAAACAGG
rnacentral:rRNA from 1 species